UACAGAGACCUCAAGCGUUAUCCAGAAUCAUUGGGCGUAAAGCGUACCGAUAGGUGGUUUUACAAGUCAGAAGUGAAAUCUCUCAGCUUAACUGGGAGACUGUCUUUUGAAACUGUAAAACUAGAAGGGCAAAGAGGAAGCUGGAACAAACGGUGUAGUAGUGAAAUGCGUUGAUAUCGUUUGGAACACCAAUAGCGUAGGCAGGCGUCUGGGUGCCACUUGACACUGCUAGGACGAAAGCGUGGGGAGCGAGAAGG
rnacentral:rRNA from 1 species